GAAAGGCUAAUAUAACUCUUAGAUAUUUAAGGGCUAGGAAAAAUUAUUGUGAACCUUGAAUCUAAACUUUGAAUGAUGGCAAAGGACCAUAUUUAAUGGUUCAUAUUGAAAAACAAAGAGUUUCCUUUGACUACCAUAAUUAGGAUUAGCCAUCAAGCUGCCCGCCUGCACUUCCUGAUAAACUGUUGUUUGAUUCCUUAUCUCAACCUCUUUCUCAUCAAAAUAUUUCAUACCUCAUCACAUAUUGCUGGUGCUCCUUUUUAGAAUUAUCUCUUCAUAUGGUGUGAUGCCUUUGAAUAAUGAUAUAUCUCAUUAUACAUCCUUG
rnacentral:misc_RNA from 1 species